rnacentral:rRNA from 1 species
GAGCUUGCUCCUCUGAUCAGUGGCGAACGGGUGAGUAACACGUGAGCAACCUGCCCCAGACUCUGGGAUAACAGUUGGAAACAGCUGCUAAUACCGGAUACGAGACGGAGAGGCAUCUCUACCGUCUGGGAAGUUUUUCGGUCUGGGAUGGACUCGCGGCCUAUCAGCUAGUUGGUGAGGUAAUGGCUCACCAAGGCGACGACGGGUAGCCGGCCUGAGAGGGCGACCGGCCACACUGGGACUGAGACACGGCCCAGACUCCUACGGGAGGCAGCAGUGGGGAAUAUUGCACAAUGGGCGAAAGCCUGAUGCAGCGACGCCGCGUGAGGGAUGACGGCCUUCGGGUUGUAAACCUCUUUCAGCAGGGAAAAAGCGAAAGUGACGGUACCUGCAGAAGAAGCACCGGCUAACUACGUGCCAGCAGCCGCGGUAAUACGUAGGGUGCGAGCGUUGUCCGGAAUUAUUGGGCGUAAAGAGCUUGUAGGCGGUUUGUCGCGUCUGCAGUGAAAAUCCGAGGCUCAACCUCGGACUUGCUGUGGGUACGGGCAGACUAGAGUAUGGUAGGGGAGACCGGAAUUCCUGGUGUAGCGGUGGAAUGCGCAGAUAUCAGGAGGAACACCGAUGGCGAAGGCAGGUCUCUGGGCCAUAACUGACGCUGAGAAGCGAAAGCAUGGGGAGCGAACAGGAUUAGAUACCCUGGUAGUCCAUGCCGUAAACGUUGGGCGCUAGGUGUGGGGCUCAUUCCACGAGCUCCGUGCCGCAGCUAACGCAUUAAGCGCC